AAUUGAAGAGUUUGAUCAUGGCUCAGAUUGAACGCUGGCGGCAGGCCUAACACAUGCAAGUCGAGCGGUAGCACAGAGAGCUUGCUCUCGGGUGACGAGCGGCGGACGGGUGAGUAAUGUCUGGGAAACUGCCUGAUGGAGGGGGAUAACUACUGGAAACGGUAGCUAAUACCGCAUAACGUCGCAAGACCAAAGUGGGGGACCUUCGGGCCUCAUGCCAUCAGAUGUGCCCAGAUGGGAUUAGCUAGUAGGUGGGGUAACGGCUCACCUAGGCGACGAUCCCUAGCUGGUCUGAGAGGAUGACCAGCCACACUGGAACUGAGACACGGUCCAGACUCCUACGGGAGGCAGCAGUGGGGAAUAUUGCACAAUGGGCGCAAGCCUGAUGCAGCCAUGCCGCGUGUGUGAAGAAGGCCUUCGGGUUGUAAAGCACUUUCAGCGGGGAGGAAGGCGUUAAGGUUAAUAACCUUGGCGAUUGACGUUACCCGCAGAAGAAGCACCGGCUAACUCCGUGCCAGCAGCCGCGGUAAUACGGAGGGUGCAAGCGUUAAUCGGAAUUACUGGGCGUAAAGCGCACGCAGGCGGUCUGUCAAGUCGGAUGUGAAAUCCCCGGGCUCAACCUGGGAACUGCAUUCGAAACUGGCAGGCUAGAGUCUUGUAGAGGGGGGUAGAAUUCCAGGUGUAGCGGUGAAAUGCGUAGAGAUCUGGAGGAAUACCGGUGGCGAAGGCGGCCCCCUGGACAAAGACUGACGCUCAGGUGCGAAAGCGUGGGGAGCAAACAGGAUUAGAUACCCUGGUAGUCCACGCCGUAAACGAUGUCGAUUUGGAGGUUGUGCCCUUGAGGCGUGGCUUCCGGAGCUAACGCGUUAAAUCGACCGCCUGGGGAGUACGGCCGCAAGGUUAAAACUCAAAUGAAUUGACGGGGGCCCGCACAAGCGGUGGAGCAUGUGGUUUAAUUCGAUGCAACGCGAAGAACCUUACCUGGUCUUGACAUCCACAGAACUUUCCAGAGAUGGAUUGGUGCCUUCGGGAACUGUGAGACAGGUGCUGCAUGGCUGUCGUCAGCUCGUGUUGUGAAAUGUUGGGUUAAGUCCCGCAACGAGCGCAACCCUUAUCCUUUGUUGCCAGCGGUUCGGCCGGGAACUCAAAGGAGACUGCCAGUGAUAAACUGGAGGAAGGUGGGGAUGACGUCAAGUCAUCAUGGCCCUUACGACCAGGGCUACACACGUGCUACAAUGGCAUAUACAAAGAGAAGCGACCUCGCGAGAGCAAGCGGACCUCAUAAAGUAUGUCGUAGUCCGGAUUGGAGUCUGCAACUCGACUCCAUGAAGUCGGAAUCGCUAGUAAUCGUAGAUCAGAAUGCUACGGUGAAUACGUUCCCGGGCCUUGUACACACCGCCCGUCACACCAUGGGAGUGGGUUGCAAAAGAAGUAGGUAGCUUAACCUUCGGGAGGGCGCUUACCACUUUGUGAUUCAUGACUGGGGUGAAGUCGUAACAAGGUAACCGU
rnacentral:rRNA from 1 species